rnacentral:misc_RNA from 1 species
AGACCGCAAGAACAUUGCAGUUGUUAAUGGAGCGGGUGUUGAUAGCUUCGGCUGUUGAGAGGCAGGUGGAAGCGAAGACGCCAGGGAACUUGUUGGCAAAUAUGGAGACACCGACGCCGGUUCCGCAAGCUACAAGGCCACGGAUUUCAGGGCAAAGAGAGGAUGGAGAUGUGGCGUUAGCAGCGGAGACGCGGCGGCCAACCUCAGCGGCGAUCGAGUAG